AUGAUAGUGAAGAUGUCCCAGCAACAAGGAUUCUCUCUCUUUAGACUCUAGUCUCUGGAGAGAGACUUUGCUCUCAAGUUUGCUCUUCUCUUUGAGGCACCGUCCUUUUCCUCUACCAUAUUCAUUGGCUAUCCACUACUCCAUUUGGGCAAGGGAUGGCUUCCUUCUCCGCAUCCAGAGUGUGGGUUUAUCCCUUCCUAUUUCUAACUAGGGUUGCAAAUAGUUUUUGGUUCUUUGUUUUUAUUUGCAAGGUUGGGCUCAACAAUGAGGGGUUUUGAAGACUUUGAGAGCAGUACCCCAUAGCUUAGGCCAGGGCUCUGCAAG
rnacentral:misc_RNA from 1 species